UACGUAGGGUGCGAGCGUUGUCCGGAAUUACUGGGCGUAAAGAGCUCGUAGGCGGUUUGUCGCGUCUGCCGUGAAAGUCCGGGGCUCAACUCCGGAUCUGCGGUGGGUACGGGCAGACUAGAGUGCAGUAGGGGAGACUGGAAUUCCUGGUGUAGCGGUGAAAUGCGCAGAUAUCAGGAGGAACACCGAUGGCGAAGGCAGGUCUCUGGGCUGUAACUGACGCUGGAGGAGCGAAAGCAUGGGGAGCGAACAGG
rnacentral:rRNA from 1 species